rnacentral:lncRNA from 1 species
CAGAGAAUUAAAAAGAAAAUUUUAUAUUUGAGUGCUAUUUCUUUUGUGGCACCGAAACUUUAUAACAAUUUCAGGGCUCACCCUUGAUUACAUUUCCCCCCAGGGGCGGUCUCUGGUUCUCUCUCCUGAGGAGGCGCACCCCGCCCCCUUGUGGUGGCCUCAGGGGUGAGAAAUCAGGACCCACCCAGUGCGAGGAAUAACCGGAGCUCUCUGCAACGCUGAAAGAAACUGGCCAGCAACCUAGCUUAAAGGAUCCUCACAUCUGCGGCGACGACUCUGUGCACAGACCAAGGAAGGAGAAGCCGCCGGAGCCAGUAAAGUACUCCCUUGGUGGUCAAAUUCCGGAGGGCUAAAUGUGUGUGUGCAUGAAUGAUCACAAACAACCCUACCUGCGGUGCUGUUCAUGUGGAUGGUGACAAGACCUACUGCUGGGCAGAAGGUCUUUUAGCACAGGUGCUGCCUUUGGACUUUCCAGUGCCUCAGCAUCAGCCUGGGGAUCAUGUUCUCAUCAAAGAAGGGAAAGAAGGGAAACUCGAGCCAGCCCGGGAAGGACCCUACCUCGUGCUGCUAACCACUGAGACUGCUGUUCGUAAGGUUGGAAAGGGAUGGACACAUCACACAUGAGUCAAGCAAGCACCAUUAUCCUCAGAAUCAUGGGCCAUUGUUCCUGGAUCAAGCCCUACCAAAUUAAAGCUAAGGAAAGCUUAGUCUAUCUAUCUUUUCCUUUCCCUUCCUUACCCAGUGCUUAUAUCCAUUACUAUCCCUACCACUAGCAACUCUAACCCCACUUUAGAACGCUUCUGUGGUUUAGGAGCAGAGGUCACUGGAAAGGAUCCUAUGGGCUUCUUUAAGGUGGGCUUUGUUCUCCCUCCUCCACCUCCUAUGGCUGCCCCUUUCCCAAACCUACAAAAUCAAACUAUGACUCACCUCAUGCCAAAUGACAAAAGCAAGGUCCCGGUAGUAGAAAUAUGAGACCUAAGGCAAACCAUAGCCAUUAAAACAGGGUAUAAAAAUGUAAAUGCCUGGUUAAAAUUGAUUAAAUAUUCUGUCCACAGGUUAAACAAAGGCAAUUUUUAUGCUUGUGCACAUGACAGGCCAGAAGCCCAGACUGUCCCCUUUCCACUAGGGUGGUCCUCUAGUUGACUGGGCAUGGCCUGCAUGGCAGAUCUUCCCCAGGAUUAUUCAGCCUGGGGUAACAAGUCGUGCCAAGCUCUCUCUCUGCUAUAUCCCAAAGUUCAGCACCCUGCGGGUCAGCCCCCAAGGGCCAUCCAGCUUCCAUCUCCCAACACUAAGUUCACUUCCUGUCUCUCAGGACCGGGAGGAAACUUAGCGUUCCUUGGAGACCUGAAGGGAUGCAGUGAGAUUAAGAAAUUUCAAGAGCUUACCAAUUAGCCCUUAUGCAUCCCUGAGCAGAUGUGUAGUGGUAUUAUGAUGGACCUUUACUGGACACUCUGCCGAGUAACUGAAGUGGCACUUGCUUUAGUCCAGUUGGCUAUCCCUUUCACCCUGGCAUUUCAUCAACCAGAGAAAGGAAAAAUAAGAUAUCAUAAAGCAAAAGAAGCCCCUUAUGGGUCUUUUGACUCUCACAUCUAUUUAGACAUAAUUACAGUCCCACAGGGAAUACCAGAUCAAUUUAAAGCCUGAAAUCAAAUAGCUGCAGGAUUUGAGUCAAUAUUUUGGUGGGUGACAAUAAAAUGUAAAUUGGAUAAACUACAUCUAUUACAACCAACAGCCAUCCAUUAACUACACUAGAGAUGCUGUUAAAGGAAUAGCUGAGCAAUUAGGGGCUACUAGCCAGAUGGCUUGGGAAAAAUAGGAUAGCCUUAGACAUGAUAUUAGCAGAAAAAGGAAGAAUUUGCAUCAUAAUUAAAAAUCAAUGUUGUACCUUCAUCCCAAACAACACCGCCCCUAAUGGAAGUAUAACAAAGGCAUUGCAAGGUGUGACUGCUCUAUCCCAUGAGUUAGCCAAUAACUCGGGGUAAAUGACCCCUUUACAGGAUGGCUAGAAAGGUGGCUCAGUAAAUGGAAAAGAAUAAUAGCCCCAAUUCUUACUUCCAUCACAGCCAUCAUAGGUGUGCUUAUUCUUGUCGGGUGUUGUGUCACACUAAGGAAGGAGACCGCUACAACUCCUGCUGCCCUCCUCCCACCACCUUGCCUAGUUCACAAGACAGGACGAAAGAGAGAAAGCAAAAAGCUGGAAAGAAGCAAAAGUAAGAUAAAUAGCCAGACAACCUUGGCACCACCACCUGGCCCUAGGAGUUAAAAAAGUAAUAAUAAUAACAUCAACCCCAGACCUAAACUACUUGUGUUAUCUGUAAAUUCCAGACAUUGUAUGAAAAAGCAUUGCAAAACUUUCUGUUCUGUUAGCUGAUGCAUGUAGCCCCCAGUCACGUUCCCCACGCUUGCUCGAUUUAUCACAACCUUUUCAUGUGGACCCCUUAGAGUUGGAAGCCUUUAAAAAGGCCAAGAAUUUAGUUUUCAGGGAGCUCAGCUCUCAAGAUGCAAGUCUGCCGAUGCUCUCAGCCAAGUAAACCUCUUCCUUCUUUAAUCCAGUGUCUGAGGAGUUUUGUCUGCGUUGGUGCAGAGGCUUAUAAAAACGGCACUUCCUAAAACCUCCCUUAACUAUCCUCCACCUUAUCCAGAGAAGCUUCUUCUUUUGGAAAAUCAAGCAGAACAACUAAGCCAAGACAUGUUAAAGAAGUUUGAAGGGAAAGAGCUGUAAGGAAAUGCAAGAGGAGAGAUUGUUAGAUAUGAGUUCUAAAUUUCUCUUCAAAGAAUCAAUAUGUCAGUAUGUUCCAUUCUUUGCCUUUUACUUGUAAACUUAACUUCCUCGUAAAGCAACCAUUUUCGAUUACCUGCUCCACCCUGACUCAUUCCGAUUACCUGCUCUGCCCUGAAUUCUGAUUUCCUGCUCUGCCAUAACAAUUUUUCCCGCCAAAUCACUCACCCUGUCACUCUCUUUAAAUUAACCAAUUGGCAUUAGUUUAGCCUGUGCGGUCUAACCCUAGCCAAUAGGGGAACAACACAGCAGCAGAGGCCACGUGCAUCAGGGAUAAGAACCCCUUCUCCCUUGUCCAAGUGUGCGCUCGCCAUUGCUCCAUCUAUAAGGGCGCACCCUUCUAUAAAAGUACAUUGCCU